rnacentral:tRNA from 1 species
UCAGUGGUAGAGUAAAGCCAUGGUAAGGCGUAAGUCAUCGGUUCAAAUCCGAUAAUGGACU